rnacentral:rRNA from 1 species
AUGAGACAAAAAGUGAACUCUCACCGCCGUCGGCUUCCAACUUGUUUACUGCCUGUCUGCCGGCCAUUGACGCUGGGGCUCUCUUUUAGGUCGUAUCUCGUAUGUGCUAAUGAACACGAGUCCCCUGUGUUCUUCUUCCACAUCCCUGCUUUGCCACCAAGGAUAUCGACACCCACUCCUCGCCACGCAGGCGCUCCUUCACCCGCAUGGACCUGCGGUGCGUGCUCUGCGUGGCCGCCGGGGCCCUCUUCACCGUGUUCCUCCUCGGGGCCUCCUGGAUCGCAUUCCCCUCCGCCUCAUUCUUCCUCCUCCAAUAUUCCCCUGCCACCNNNNNNNNNNNNNNNNNNCCCCCGCUUCGCCUACCUCAUCUCCGGCUCGGCAGGGGACGCUGGCAGGCUCCGCCGCUGCCUCCUCGCGCUCUACCACCCACGGAACCACUACAUCCUCCACCUGGACGCGGAGGCGCCCGAUUCGGACCGCACGGGGCUGGCGGCGUUCGUGACCGCGCACCCGGUCGCCGCCGCUAUGGGGAACGUGCGUGUGGUGGAGAAGGCCAACCUUGUUACCUACCGAGGCAUCACCAUGGUCACCACCACACUACACGCCGCCGCCAUCUUCCUGCGGCGGCCCGGCGGGGACUGGGACUGGUUCAUCAACCUGUCCGCCUCCGACUACCCACUCGUCACUCAGGACGAUCUGAUGGACGUCUUUUCGCGGCUGCCGCGUGACUUCAACUUCAUCGAGCACACGGGCGACCUGGGUUGGAAAGCGCCUGCGAGGGCGAUGCCGGUUGUCGUUGACCGUGGCCUCUACAUGAAGACGAAGCAAAAUCUGCUAUGGAUGAAUGAGACAGAGAAGCGGGCGCUGCCCACUGCUUUCACACUCUUCACUGGUUCUGCGUGGAUGGUGUUGUCUCGUCCAUUCGUGGAGUACCUGAUCUGGGGUUGGGACAACCUCCCGCGGACGGUCCUCCUCUAUUAUGCCAACUUCGUCUCCUCUCCGGAGGGCUACUUCCAAACUGUGGUCUGUAACGCCAAUGAAUUUCGCAACACCACUGUAAACCACGACAUGCACUACAUCUCCUGGGACGACCCCCCAGGUCAGCACCCACAGCUGCUCAACACCAGCCAUUGGGACAAGAUGGUUGGCAACAACGCCCCCUUUGCGCGCAAGUUCGGCCAGGACGACAUGGUGCUUGACAGGAUAGAUGCAGACAUCCUGUUACGGCCGCCAGGCAUGGUCGCCCCUGGAGGCUGGUGCAGGGGGGAUUUGGGCAGAAGUAGCGAUGGUCCUUGUUGCUCCGUGGGGAGCCCGACGCGCCUGCUUCCCGGCCCUGGAGCUGCACGGCUACAACGGCUGGUUACGUCGCUCAUGUUGGAGAAGAACUUCCGGUCGAAACAGUGCAAAAUAGUUGAGCACAAUUAUUGA